rnacentral:rRNA from 1 species
UACGUAGGUGGCGAGCGUUAUCCGGAUUUACUGGGCGUAAAGAGGGCGCAGGCGGCUUUCUAAGUCGGAUGUGAAAUCUCUCGGCUUAACCGGGUGGGGUCAUUCGAUACUGGAAGGCUUGAGAGCAACAGAGGGAAGUGGAAUUCCCGGUGUAGUGGUGAAAUGCGUAGAUAUCGGGAGGAACACCAGUGGCGAAAGCGGCUUCCCAGGUUGCUUCUGACGCUUAAGCCCGAAAGUGUGGGGAGCAAACAGG